rnacentral:rRNA from 1 species
CAGUCGCCACGGUAAUACGUAGGGUGCGAGCGUUAAUCGGAAUUACUGGGCGUAAAGCGUGCGCAGGCGGUUUUGUAAGACAGGCGUGAAAUCCCCGGGCUCAACCUGGGAAUGGCGCUUGUGACUGCAAAGCUAGAGUGCGGCAGAGGGGGAUGGAAUUCCGCGUGUAGCAGUGAAAUGCGUAGAUAUGCGGAGGAACACCGAUGGCGAAGGCAAUCCCCUGGGCCUGCACUGACGCUCAUGCACGAAAGCGUGGGGAGCAAACAGGAUUAGAUACCCCUGUAGUCCCUGUCUCUUAUAA